GAUGAACGCUGGCGGCGUGCCUAAUACAUGCAAGUCGAGCGAACAGACGAGUAGCUGGCUCCUCUUACGUUAGCGGCGGACGGGUGAGUAACACGUGGAUAACCUACCUAUAAGACUUGGAUAACUUCGGGAAACCUGAGCUAAUACCGGAUAAUAUAUUGAACCGCAUGGUUCAAUAGUGAAAGACGGGUUUGCUGUCACUUAUAGAUUGAUCCGCGCCGCAUUAGAUAGUUGGUAAGGUAACGGCUUACCAAGGCAACGAUGCGUAGCCGACCUGAGAGGGGGAUAGGCCACACUGGAACUGAGACACGGUCCAGACUCCUACGGGAGGCAGCAGUAGGGAAUCUUCCGCAAUGGGCGAAAGCCUGACGGAGCAACGCCGAGUGAGUGAUGACGGUCUUCGGAUCGUAAAACUCUGUUAUUAGGGAAGAACAAAUGUGUACGUAACUAUGCACGUCUUGACGGUACCUAAUCAGAAAGCCACGGCUAACUACGUG
rnacentral:rRNA from 1 species